rnacentral:misc_RNA from 1 species
UUAAGUUCAGCGGGUAGUCCUGCCUGAUUUGAGGUCAGGGCAGUUAAAAAAGAGUGGAUGGGGGCCGGGCUCCUUACCCCCAGACGACGCAAGACUUAUCACGCGUCUCCGUGGGGGGGACUUGGAAACCCUCGCCGAUGAAUUUGAAGACGAGCCUUCACAGACAAAGUGAAGGCAAGACCGUCCAAGACCGAAAAGAG